GACAGAGGGUGUAAACGUUGCUCGGAUUUACUGGGCGUAAAGCGCGUGUAGGCGGAUGGGUAAGUCAGAUGUGAAAUCCCUGGGCUCAACCUAGGAACUGCACCUGAAACUGCCCAUCUGGAGUAGUGGAGAGGAGAGCGGAAUUCCUGGUGUAGAGGUGAAAUUCGUAGAUAUCAGGAGGAACACCGGUGGCGAAGGCGGCUCUCUGGACACUUACUGACGCUGAGACGCGAAAGCGUGGGGAGCGAACAGG
rnacentral:rRNA from 1 species